rnacentral:rRNA from 1 species
GACGAACGCUGGCGGCGUGCUUAACACAUGCAAGUCGAACGGAAAGGCCCUGCUUUUGUGGGGUGCCCAAGUGGCGAACGGGUGAGUAACACGUGAGUAACCUGCCCUUGACUUUGGGAUAACUUCAGGAAACUGGGGCUAAUACCGGAUAGGAGCUCCUGCUGCAUGGUGGGGGUUGGAAAGUUUCGGCGGUUGGGGAUGGACUCGCGGCUUAUCAGCUUGUUGGUGGGGUAGUGGCUUACCAAGGCUUUGACGGGUAGCCGGCCUGAGAGGGUGACCGGCCACAUUGGGACUGAGAUACGGCCCAGACUCCUACGGGAGGCAGCAGUGGGGAAUAUUGCACAAUGGGCGGAAGCCUGAUGCAGCAACGCCGCGUGCGGGAUGACGGCCUUCGGGUUGUAAACCGCUUUCGCCUGUGACGAAGCGUGAGUGACGGUAAUGGGUAAAGAAGCACCGGCUAACCACGUG